AAACGACUCUCGGCAACGGAUAUCUCGGCUCUCGCAUCGAUGAAGAACGUAGCGAAAUGCGAUACUUGGUGUGAAUUGCAGAAUCCCGUGAACCUUCGAGUCUUUGAACGCAAGUUGCGCCCCAAGCCUUCUGGCCGAGGGCACGUCUGCCUGGGUGUCACAA
rnacentral:rRNA from 1 species